rnacentral:misc_RNA from 1 species
GGGAAGACCACAACCACACCAGUGGACUAUUGGAAUUGAGAAGGGUGAAAAUGGAAACAUGGUUCAAUUCAAAGAAAGUGAUUUAGUGGGUGUAAUUGGCCAUUACAGCUCAAUGACCACUUGUCCUAUUGAGGUUGUUUAUUUCAAGGAAAUCAAAUCUGAUUCACUGAGAUUGUACUUGUUCAACAGUGAUGGAGAGGAUAUUUC